AACGAACGCUGGCGGCAUGCCUAACACAUGCAAGUCGAACGAGACCUUCGGGUCUAGUGGCGCACGGGUGCGUAACGCGUGGGAACCUGCCCUUAGGUUCGGAAUAACUCCCCGAAAGGGGUGCUAAUACCGGAUAAUGUCUUCGGACCAAAGAUUUAUCGCCUUUGGAUGGGCCCGCGUUGGAUUAGCUAGUUGGUAGGGUAAAAGCCUACCAAGGCGACGAUCCAUAGCUGGUCUGAGAGGAUGAUCAGCCGCACUGGGACUGAGACACGGCCCAGACUCCUACGGGAGGCAGCAGUGGGGAAUAUUGGACAAUGGGCGAAAGCCUGAUCCGGCAAUGCCGCGUGAGUGAUGAAGGCCUUAGGGUUGUAAAGCUCUUUUACCCGGGAUGAUAAUGACAGUACCGGGAGAAUAAGCUCCGGCUAACUCCGUG
rnacentral:rRNA from 1 species